rnacentral:rRNA from 1 species
UAGGCGUAAGUAAUCUGGGUGGCUAAUGGCAAACGGGUGAUUUUUAUAUCGGAACGUGCCCAGUCGUGGGGGAUAACGCAGCGAAAGCUGUGCUAAUACCGCAUACGAUCUACGGAUGAAAGCGGGGGAUCGCAAGACCUCGCGCGAUUGGAGCGGCUGAUAUCAGAUUAGCUAGUUGGUGGGGUAAAGGCCUACCAAGGCGACGAUCUGUAGCUGGUCUGAGAGGACGACCAGCCACACUGGAACUGAGACACGGUCCAGACUCCUACGGGAGGCAGCAGUGGGGAAUUUUGGACAAUGGGCGCAAGCCUGAUCCAGCAAUGCCGCGUGCAGGAUGAAGGCCUUCGGGUUGUAAACUGCUUUUGUACGGAACGAAAAGGUCUCUCUUAAUACGAGAGAUUUAUGACGGUACCGUAAGAAUAAGCACCGGCUAACUACGUGCCAGCAGCCGCGGUAAUACGUAGGGUGCGAGCGUUAAUCGGAAUUACUGGGCGUAAAGCGUGCGCAGGCGGUUUUGUAAGACAGAUGUGAAAUCCCCGGGCUCAACCUGGGACCUGCAUUUGUGACUGCAAGGCUAGAGUACGGUAGAGGGGGAUGGAAUUCCGCGUGUAGCAGUGAAAUGCGUAGAUAUGCGGAGGAACACCGAUGGCGAAUG